UUGACAGAUUGAGAGCUCUUUCUUGAUUCUGUGGGUGGUGGUGCAUGGCCGUUUUUAGUUGGUGGAGUAAUUUGUCUGGUUAAUUCCGUUAACGAACGAGACCUUAACCUAUUAAAUAGUCGUGGGAACCCAGGUCUUUCAUCCCUCUUCAGCAAUGGGGGGGGAAACCAUUAUCAUAUUGGUACCCUCUGGGUAUCGUGUGGUAGUGGUGAGGAUCUGAUAGUGUUCUUAUAGGCUUCUUAGAGGGACUCUUUGCAUCUUUAGCAAAUGGAAGUUUGAGGCAAAAACAGGUCUGUGAUGCCCUUCGAUGUUCUGGGCUGCACGCGCGUUACAAUGACGCAUGCAACGAGUUAUUAAAUUCCUGGCCCGAUGGGGUUGGGUAAUCUUUUUAAAGUGCGUCGUGAUGGGGAUAGAGCAUUGCAAUUAUUGUUCUUGAACGAGGAAUUCCUAGUAAUUGCAGGUCAUCAACCUGCGAUGAUUACGUCCCUGCCCUUUGUACAC
rnacentral:rRNA from 1 species